GAUGAACGCUGGCGGCGUGCUUAAUACAUGCAAGUCGAGCGAAGCACUUUUAGACGUAUUUCGUACGGAGUUAGAGCAACUGUGGACUGGAGACGGGCGGACGGGUGAAGGUAACGCGUGGGUAACCUGCCUCAUACAGGGGGAUAACAGUUAGAAAUGACUGCUAAUACCGCAUAAGACCACAGCACCGCAUGGUGCAGGGGUAAAAACUCCGGUGGUAUGAGAUGGACCCGCGUCUGAUUAGCUGGUUGGUGGGGUAACGGCCCACCAAGGCGACGAUCAGUAGCCGACCUGAGUGGGUGAUCGGCCACAUUGGGACUGAGACACGGCCCAA
rnacentral:rRNA from 1 species